AACGAACGCUGGCGGCAGGCUUAACACAUGCAAGUCGAACGCCCGUAGCAAUACGGGAGUGGCGGACGGGUGAGUAACGCGUGGGAACGUGCCCUGAGGUACGGAAGAACUGCGGGAAACUGCAGCUAAUACCGUAUGAGCCCCGCAAGGGGGAAAGAUUUAUCGCCUUAGGAGCGGCCCGCGCCCGAUUAGCUAGUUGGUUGGGUAACGGCUUACCAAGGCUUCGAACCGUAGCUGGUCUGAGAGGACGCUCAGCCACACUGGGACUGAGACCCUGCCCAGACUCCUACGUGAGGAGGAAGUGCGGAAUCUUGCGCCAUGGGAGCAACCCUGACGUAGCGAUGCGGCUUGACUGAUGGAGGACUUAGGGUUGUAAAGUUCUUUUGCCCGUGACGAUGAUGACGGUAACGGGAGAAUAAGCUCCGGCUAACUUCGUGCCAGCCGCCGCUGUAACAC
rnacentral:rRNA from 1 species